GUGUCAGCCGCCGCGGUAAUACGUAGGGUGCAAGCGUUAAUCGGAAUUACUGGGCGUAAAGCGUGCGCAGGCGGUUAUAUAAGACAGAUGUGAAAUCCCCGGGCUCAACCUGGGAACUGCAUUUGUGACUGUAUAGCUAGAGUACGGCAGAGGGGGAUGGAAUCCCGCGUGUAGCAGUGAAAUGCGUAGAUAUGCGGAGGAACACCGAUGGCGAAGGCAAUCCCCUGGGCCUGUACUGACGCUCAUGCACGAAAGCGUGGGGAGCAAACAGGAUUAGAAACCCUAGUAGUCC
rnacentral:rRNA from 1 species